UACGUAGGGCGCAAGCGUUAUCCGGAAUUAUUGGGUGUAAAGAGCUCGUAGGCGGUUUGUCGCGUCUGCCGUGAAAGUCCGGGGCUCAACUCCGGAUCUGCGGUGGGUACGGGCAGACUAGAGUGAUGUAGGGGAGACUGGAAUUCCUGGUGUAGCGGUGAAAUGCGCAGAUAUCAGGAGGAACACCGGUGGCGAAGGCGGUUCUCUGGGCAUUACCUGACGCUGAGGAGCGAAAGUGUGGGGAGCGAACAGG
rnacentral:rRNA from 1 species